rnacentral:rRNA from 1 species
UACGGAGGGUGCAAGCGUUAUCCGGAUUCACUGGGUUUAAAGGGUGCGUAGGUGGGAAUGUAAGUCAGUGGUGAAAUCUCCGUGCUUAACAUGGAAACUGCCAUUGAUACUAUGUUUCUUGAAUUUUUCUGGAGGUCAGCGGAAUAUGUCAUGUAGCGGUGAAAAUGCUUAGAUAUGACAUAGAACACCAAUUUGCGAAAGGCAACUGGCUACAGGGAUAUUGACAUGAGGCACGAAAGCGUGGGGAUCAAACAGGA